CGGCCCGUAGCUUAGUUGGCUAAAGUACCCGGCUUUUAACCGGGGGAGCAUGAGUUCGAAUCUCAUCGGGUCGACAA
rnacentral:tRNA from 1 species